rnacentral:lncRNA from 1 species
CUCAUUGGCCCGUAGUGCAUUGAUGGACAGUUGUUGGCAUGAUCAUGACCAUUGAUGAAUACACAAAUAUCCUUGGCCCGUAGUGCAUGGAAUUUGUGGUCGUGACCCUAAUGAAUAUCCUUGGCCGUAGUGCAGGGAUGAUGUGGAUUAUUUAUUAAGCUGAGUCCCAGCGAUAAAAGUGAUGAAAAACCUUUUAAAUCAUAAAAGAUAGUAGAUUUUAUUCUCUACUUGACUCUUUUAAUGGAUUGCUUGUUCCGCUGCAGUUAAACUUGAUGUCUAUUGUAUUUUAUCAGUUUAACAUUGUUGGAAACUAAUGAUAAUUUAUUCUGCAUUAUCUUAGUCAUAAUAUUUCUUGCUGGGCUAGUUGAGCUCACCCUUUCUUUCACUGUUCUCUUCAGGAAAUGAGAACGUAGCUGGGACGAGUCGGGAAUCAGAGUGAUGAUCUGGAUGAUAGUGUUAGCUAGUUGUAGUCCUUACUAUUCUGUUAAAUAGUGUGACAAUAAAUGUAUUGAGGACUUAUUCUGAGAGUGGAUAUUGUCUAGAAGGCAAUAUUUGUAUUAAAACUCACAACAUGUAUUUUGUCGUACUUUACACGACUGUUGUAUAAUUAAGUUAUAUUUGAAUUUUGUACCAUGUAUUGGAAACUCAAGAUGGGUGAUGUAUACCUAUUUUGAGGGCGUCACAGUUGGUAUCAAAGCUUAGGGAUAUGAUCCCUGACUAAGAUGUGAGACAAGAACUAGGAGGGGAGAGACGGGGAAUUCUUUCGUUAGUAUGACCUAACUAAGUUUAUUUGGUAUUUAAUUGGUCAAUCAAAGUAUAAGGAUAAUAUGUGUUAUAUUUUAACUCUUGUUUUGUGGCAGUAUUUGAAAAUGGCAUCCGAGAAUGUUGAGAACAUCAAUGGAGCACAGGAGACCAUUGAGUCUCCACAGAUUAAUAGUAAGGAUAAUGUGCAUCAGGAAGGCGACAAUCCUUAGGCAAAUAACAACAUUGACCAAAUGAUGAACGAUGGAAUAUUCGGAGGCUUCAUGCAAUUCAUACAACAUCAGGCGAGAGCGGCUCCUGUCCAAAAUGCAGGUGGAAACACUGGCAACUCUCGGUUGGUCACCACCAAGCAGUUAAUGGAAUUGGGACCACCGGAGUUCUUUGGAGAGCCUAAACCACUUAAGGCGGAAACAUGGAUUAAACAGAUCAACAAGAUAUUUGAUGUCUUGGGAUGCUCCGAGGAGCAAAAGGUUCCCUUUGCCACCUUCAUGUUGCGUGCAGAGGCAGAUUACUGGUGGGAAUCUGUAAAACGUACUCAACCUGCCGCACUGAAGAUAUCUUGGGAGAAGUUCCAGGAACUAUUCAACGACAAGUACUUUCCCGAAAGUAUUCGACACAUGAAAGAGGUAGAGUUCAUCAAGCUGGAGCAAAAUAACAUGACCGUGUCGCAGUACGAAGCCAAGUUUGCCGAGUUAUCCCGAUUUGCGUCCCAUUUGGUUGAUAAUGAAGAGAGAAUGACACGAAUGUUUUUAAGAGGUUUGAAACCUGAGAUACGACAAUAUCUUAUAUCUCAUAAACUAUGUUUGUAUUCAGAUGUUGUUAAUAGGACUCAGUUAUUGGAGCGUGAUAAUGAGUCAACCCAACCAAAAGAGAGUAGCCGACAAAAUGAUAGUACCAGUGAGAACAGUCAUCGAAGCGGUGACAACAAGCAUGGAGGGAAUCAACAGGCCAGAAAUGGUAACCACUUCGGUGGUAAUCAAGGCCAAAAUAGUAAGAAUGGACAUUUCAAGAAGAGGAGAUUCAAUAAUGAUGGAAAGACGUCAGCACCAGCACCCGUUGUGAAGGAAGGAGAACGACCACCUAUUAUAUGCUUCAAAUGUGGAGGGAAGAGACACAUCAGUCCAAAUUGCGCGAUGCCGUCUAAAGCAUGUUAAUUAUGGGAGAGAAGGUCACCUAGCCUGAUUUUGUCAUUCACCAAAGACAAGUUCAGCUAGGAUGGAGACACCAAAAGCUGUUCCAGAUAUGUCAAAGCUGGUAUUUCAAGGGAGAGCAUUUUUUGUGACCUCCAAAAAAGUGAAGAACCCGAAUGAAGUUAUCACGAGUAAGCUAAUCAUAAACUCUUGCAAAGUCUAUACCUUAUUUGAUACCCGUUCUACCCAUUCUUUUAUUUCACCUACUUGCGCUCAACGUUUGAAUUUGACUUCGGAGAGAUUGGACUUUGAUUUAUCUGUUGAAACUCCGUUGGGAGAAACCUUCAUUACAUCCAUGGUUUAUAAGUCUUGUUUAGUUCAAAUCAGCACCCACACAUUACCUAUCGAUCUUAUUUCUUUGAAAAUACUUGCAUUUGAUGUGAUUCUAGGGAUUGAUUGGUUAACUACCCAUCAUCCAAAAAUUGAUUAUUUUCAUAAGGUUGUUAGCUUUCAUAUUCCUAAUCAACCUAUUAUGCGAAUUCAAACAACCAUACCAUUAAAAUCAAUCACUGUCAUCUCAAGCCAUAAAGCUAUUCGUUUAUUGAAAAAUGGAUGUCAAGCUUUCUUAGCUCAUGUCACGGAUCUAAACAAAAAUACGUCAGUUUUGAAUGAUAUUUCUAUUGUUAAUGAAUUUUCUGAUGUAUUCCCUGAAGAACUUCCUGGCCUACCCCCAGAGCGUGAAAUUAAAUUUUGUAUCGACUUUGAACCCGGUACAAAACCCAUUUCAAAAGCCCCAUAUCGAAUGGCUCCUAUUGAACUUCAGGAGUUAAAGACCCAACAGCAGGAAUUGUUAGACAUUGGAUUUAUUCGUCCUAGUACUUAUCCUUGGGGUGCUCCUGUUCUAUUUGUAAAGAAGAAAGAUGGGAGUAUGCGACUUUGUAUUGAUUAUCAGGAGUUGAAUCAUGUCACCAUCAAAAAUAGGUACACAUUGCCACGUAUUGAUGACCUGUUUGACCAGUUGCAAGGCGCCAAAUUCUUUUCAAAGAUUGAUCUUCGUUUCGGAUAUCACCAAUUGAAGAUUAGAACCGAUGACAUUCCAAAGACGGCUUUCAGAACAGGGUACGGGCAUUAUGAAUUCUUAGUCAUGUCUUUUGGAUUGACUAAUGCACCUGCUGCCUUCAUGGAUAUGAUGAACCGAGUAUUCAAGGAAUAUUUGGAUCACUUUGUGGUCGUCUUUAUUGAUGACAUCCUCAUAUAUUCCAAAACCCGUGAAGAUCAUGAGCAACACUUGAGGUUGAUACUCCAAAAGCUUCGUGAAUAAAAGCUUUAUGCCAAGUUGAAGAAAUGCGAGUUUUGGCUUGAGGAAGUAGCAUUUCUUGGGCACGUGGUAUCAAGUCAUGGAAUAUCUGUUGACCCAGCAAAGAUUGAAGCUAUGCAAAGCUGGGAGCAACCUUAAUCAGUGACCGAAGUACGUAGCUUUCUCGGUUUAGCUGGUUAUUAUUGGAGAUUCGUGGAAGGAUUUUCUCAAAUUGCUACUCCAUUAACUCAGCUAACUCGAAAAGAUACAAGGUUCAGUUGGAGCGAGGAAUGCGAGAAGAGUUUUCAGGAACUCAAGAGGAGACUCAUUUCAGCACCUGUUCUGACAAUACCAUCUGGUUUGGAUGGAUUUGUCAUCUAAAGUGAUGCUUCGGGCAAAGGGUUAGGAUGUGUUCUCAUGCAGCAUGGGAAAUUCAUAGCCUAUGCCUCAUGACAACUCAAAGAAUAUGAGAGGAAUUAUCCUACUCAUGAUCUAGAGUUGGCAGUUGUUGUCUUCGCACUAAAGAUUUGGAGGCAUUACUUAUAUGGGGAGAAAGUGGAGAUCUUUACGGAUCAUAAAAGCCUCAAAUAUUUCUUCACUGAAAAGGAACUAAACAUGCGACAACGAUGUUGGCUUGAACUAUUGAAAGAUUAUGAUCAUACCAUCCAAUACCAUCCUGGAAAAGCGAACGUGGUAGCUGACGCAUUGAGUAGAAGAUCAUAUGCGGGUACGAGUGCGAUAUUGUCAACGCAAAGGCUCAUUUUGUGUGACUUGCAAAGGAUGGAGAUAAAGAUAAAGACUCCAGGGACCCACGUGAUGAUGGCAAAUAUAUGAGUAGAACUGACUUUAAUUUAUAAAGUUAAAGCUGCUUAAACUACAGACCUGGAGCUGAUGCGUAUGAGGAAGAAAGUGCAAGAGGGUGCUAUGCCGGAAGUAAGAAUUGAUGAUGAAGGAAUACUUUGAGUCAACUCCAGACUUUGUGUUCCUAACAACCCUAAUUUAAAGUAUAAAAUCAUGAUGGAGGCGCACAACACACCAUUUACAAUCCAUCCUGGGAGUACCAAAAUGUACCGUGAUCUUCGUCAUACAUUUUGGUGGAGCAAUAUGAAGAGAGAGAUAGCGCUGUUUGUCUCAAGGUGUCUGACUUGUCAACAAGUCAAGGCGGAGCAUCAAGUACCAAAAUGUCUGUUGCAACCACUUGAAAUUCAGGAAUGGAAGUGGGAGCACAUUACCAUGGAUUUCGUUACUGGUCUUCCCAAGGUUUCUCAAGGCAUUGAUGAAAUUUGGGUCAUUGUUCAUAGAUUGACCAAGUCUGCUCACUUCUUACCAAUACGAGAAACUUAUACACUUGAACGUCUUGCUCGUAUGUACAUAAAUGAGAUUGUAAGACUGCAUGGUAUACCGGUAUCCAUAGUUUCCGAUCGAGACCCAAGAUUCACUUCACGAUUUUGGGUUAGUUUUCAAAAAGCUAUGGGCACAGAUUUACGAUUUAGUUUGGCAUAUCAUCCUCAGACGAACAGACAAUCAGAGAGGACUAUUCAAACUCUGGAAGAUUUAUUAAGACUUUGUGUCCUUGACUUCAAGGGAAGCUGGGACAAGUUCUUACCGUUGGUGGAGUUUUCUUACAACAACAGUUAUCAAGCAAGCAUUGGCAUGGCUCCAUUCGUGGUGUUGUAUGGAAGAAAGUGUCGUUCUCCAGUAUGCUGGGAUGAGGUGGGUGAAGCAACGUUGUUGGGACCGGAGUUGUUACGUAUAACUACGGAAAAGAUUCAAACGAUCCGACAACGUAUAAAAACCUCACAAGAUCGACAAAAGAGUUAUGCUGAUCUUCAUCGAAAGGACGUGGAAUUUGAUAUAGGAGAUCAUGUGUUGUUACGUGUUGCUCCAUGGAAAGGAGUUAUGAGAUUUGGAAAGAGAGGAAAGCUCAAUCCUCGAUUCAUUGGCCCAUUUUUAAUCCUCGAUCGGGUAGGAACUGUGGCCUAUAGACUCGCUUUACCGCCAAGUAUGUCUCGUGUUCAUAAUAUUUUUCACAUAUCCAUGUUACGUAAAUAUGUGGAAGACCCGAACCACAUUAUUGAGUUAGAACCGGACGAAAUAGCGGAAGAUUUAACGUAUGAAGAGGUUCCUGUUCAAAUCUUGGAUAAGAAGGAACAUAUUCUACGCUCCAAGGUUAUACCUCAAGUCAAAGUUUUAUGGAGGAACCACGAUGUUGAGGAAAUGACCUGGGAGUUAGAAUCUGAAAUGAAAUCAAGGUAUCCUUACCUCUUCGACAUACCAGGUACGUACCCUAAUUUCGAGGGCGAAAUUUCAUAAGAAGGGGAGAUUGUAAGACCCCAACUUUUAUGAAUAAAGAUGAAUUUUCUAUAAUUAUCAUUUUUGAAUAUUAUGGAAUGAAUUUGAUAUAAUGUUAUAGUUGUGGGUAGUAUUUAUAAAUUUUGCAAAGUAUGCAAGUUGUUAUAUUAUAUUCGAUUGGUCGGGGAAUAUUCGUUUUAGCAGGGAAUAUUCGUACAACGGCGCAAUCAUUGGUGGACCCCACAACAGAAUUAUUGUCGGAUUGAGAAAACGACAAAAAUAUUUUUUAUGAAAAUAACGGCAGAAGUUUAUCGUUAAUACUGUUGAACUACUCGGUAGUCAAAGUACAGUAAUACGCGUUGUUGCAUAGUAGCACACGAUUUUGAUUAUUGAUGUUUACGUGAGAAGUCUUUCGGUUUUGUUCAAUUAUUGCUAUAAUAAUUGUUGCAUAGUAUCUCACGUUAUUUGAUUCAAUUAUUGUCGAUAUUUUAUAUGUUAUUAAAUCAAUAAUUGAAAUGACAGAGUUAUUAAUAUUAUAAUUUGCAAUGAUAACGAUGUCUAGAUGUUCUGCCAAGGAGAGGUUUGGUCACCUAAUUGCGCAUCAAUAGGGAGAAAUCCUUAUUGGAAAGCCUCCUCUUUCCUGGGAACGACCUGGUUAUGAAUUAUAAUAAUGAUGAUAAAUGUUGUUAAAAAUAUUGAAAGGAUUUUUUUAUGAGGUAGUUGUUGUAAAUUUGACAUAUUAUUUAGACCCCCAUUUACCUAUUUUUCAACAUUAUUGAUAGAAAGUUAUUUAAAUAUAAUGGGACCCCUAUGAUAUUGACAUGUUGGGGGAGGGGAACAUGUGGGGCCCACGGUAUUGAAAAUUGAAUGGUUGGGAGUUUUUUUUUUCAAAGUUGUCAAAUUGAUUUUGGUUUAUACAGAAGGUUUUCAAUUAUUAUCAUUAUAUAUAUAUAUAUAUAUAUAUAUAUAUUAUAUAAUAUAUAUAAUAUAUAUAUAAUAUUUUAUUUAAAAGAUUUUGCUUUAAAUAUGAACCGUCCGAUUAAAAGUAAAUCGAUCUGGACCAUUCAUGGAUUAGUUACUAUGCAUUCCAUUUUUAUAUAAAUAGAAGCUCAUUCCUUCAUUAUUUUCUUACGAAUUCACUGAACUCUAGAGAGAGAAAUUAUAGAGAGAAAGAAGAAGAGUUUUUUGUUACUUCACUACUCUAAUACCAAUUAUUAUUUUACGGUAAGGGGUAUUAUUUCUUUUGUAUUCAUGAAGAGAACUUUUAUUAUUCCAUCUUUAUUAUUCUGUUGGAAUAACCUGUAUACGCGGAAUACCCUAUACUUGGUGACAUUCUUCUAUUAUUCUGUCUUUAUUAUUCUGUAUUUAUUAUUCUGUUGGAUUAACCUGUCUAUGCGAUGUACCGCAUGCAUGGUGAUUUCUGUUGUUAUUCCAUUCUUUAUUACUCUGUUGGAACAUCCUGUCGGUGUGAUUUUCACCUGACCUGGUUCCGUUAUUAUUAUUCUGUUGGAAUAACCUGUCUAUGCGAAGUACCGCAUGCAUGGUGAUUUCUUUUAUUAUUCCAUUCGUUAUUAUACGUAGUUGGUUAAAAUUUUGACUUCUAUACUCCAUGAAAUUAGUGGAAUAUCCUUGAUAUUUGCGUUUCAUCCAGUAUUUUUCAUGGAAAUAUUCUUCUGAGCAUUCUUGAAUUUUACUCUAUAAAGCAGUAUCAUGCUGAAUAACUUAAUUCUUGAACUUGUUUUAUUGAAUUCUUAUAUCAUUGUCAUCAUCCUCAUGUUUAUAUUUUUUUUAAAGUCAUCUGUGGCCUGUAGAGCAUGGAUGGACUUAGUAUGAUUAUGACCAGGGAUUAUUCGGUGUAAUCAUGACCGUAAUGUCACAAGUGAUGUGGUAAAAGUCCUCAUUGGCCCGUAGUGCAUUGAUGGACAGUUGUUGGCAUGAUCAUGACCAUUAAUGAAUACACAAAUAUCCUUGGCCCGUAGUGCAUGGAAUUUGUGGUCGUGACCCUAAUGAAUAUCCUUGGCCGUAGUGCAGGGAUGAUGUGGAUUAUUUAU